GCGGCGAGGGGAUGCGAGCGUG
rnacentral:miRNA from 1 species